CUCCGCCGUGGUGGCCUCCCUCUCUGUGGUUGUGCCUCUUGUGCUUUCUGCGCUCUCUCCUGGUCUUGUGGUGGUGGCGCCGGUAACGGUGAGCUCGCCGGGCUGGAGGAGCAACCAAAGCGGAAGAGAGAAACUUUGAAGGCUGACAGGCCAGUGUUGCCAUUUGCAAGAGGGCAGAUGACAGGAGUCCAGAGAGAGAGGAAAUGAGUGAGAGAGACAGCAAGAAUCUGCUGAUAAAGAUUGAUGCUGAUGUAGGAGGCUGAGGUAAAAGAGAGGGCAACAGGAGCCUUUAGACGGAAACGGCAACAAUUCACACAGCAGGCACACAGCUGGUCCGUUUUAUACGGGUGGGCACAGUGUGUACUUAGCAUAUGAUGUUAAUAUAUUGGUGUACAUCCAUUGUCUGCAUCUUUGCCAGUGUUAUUCUAAGAGGAGUAGGCCGGUAAUGGCUUUAAAGGUUUGCAGCUAAUGUAAAGCUUAAGGAAGGCAAACACACCUACACCUCCAGACAGAGCAGGUCACAUUUUAUUAUUGUAUAAUACACUUUAAAAAGUAUGUACUUGAUUUUUAAAUUCUUGCCUGCCCAGGACGCUGCAUCACAACUGUAUGGCAGAUGGUUGCCUGCUUAACCAGUGAGUUAAACUGGCGCCCACAUAGUAAUUGCUGCAUUAAUUAACAAAGUGUAAUGUGUUGGGGAUUUUGAAUCCCUUGUGAAUAUAAGUGAGUUUGGGCUUCUGUUGAGUUUAUAUUGUGAUUCCAAGUGUUUCAAAUCUGUGUUUGUUGGGUUUUGAUUUGUUUAUUCUGCUAGACUGUAAGCUUAAUUCUCUGUAAAACCUUUGAGUCACUGACUCAUGUUCAGUG